rnacentral:rRNA from 1 species
AUUGAACGCUGGCGGCAGGCCUAACACAUGCAAUUCGAACGGUAACAGAAAGCAGCUUGCUGCUUUGCUGACGAGUGGCGGACGGGUGAGUAAUGUCUGGGAAACUUCCCGAUGGAGGGGGAUAACUACUGGAAACGGUAGCUAAUACCGCAUAACGUCGCAAGACCAAAGAGGGGGACCUUCGGGCCUCUUGCCAUCGGAUGUGCCCAGAUGGGAUUAGCUUGUUGGUGGGGUAACGGCUCACCAAGGCGACGAUCCCUAGCUGGUCUGAGAGGAUGACCAGCCACACUGGAACUGAGACACGGUCCAGACUCCUACGGGAGGCAGCAGUGGGGAAUAUUGCACAAUGGGCGCAAGCCUGAUGCAGCCAUGCCGCGUGUAUGAAGAAGGCCUUCGGGUUGUAAAGUACUUUCAGCGGGGAGGAAGGGAGUAAAGUUAAUACCUUUGCUCAUUGACGUUACCCGCAGAAGAAGCACCGGCUAACUCCGUG